rnacentral:tRNA from 1 species
GGCCCCAUCGUCUAGUGGUCAGGACGCCAGGUUUUCAUCCUGGUAACAGGGGUUCGACUCCCCUUGGGGUCA